rnacentral:rRNA from 1 species
UACGUAGGUGGCAAGCGUUGUCCGGAUUUACUGGGCGUAAAGAGCGCGCAGGCGGUCGAUUUAGUCGAGUGUGAAAUCCCCCGGCUCAACUGGGGAGGGUCACUCGAUACUGAUCGACUCGAAGGCAGGAGAGGGAAGCGGAAUUCCCGGUGUAGUGGUGAAAUGCGUAGAUAUGGGGAGGAACACCAGUGGCGAAGGCGGCUUUCUGGCCUGUUCUUGACGCUGAGGCGCGAGAGCGAGGGUAGCAAACGGG